rnacentral:rRNA from 1 species
GGUUCAGGACGAACGCUGGCGGCGUGCCUAAUACAUGCAAGUCGAACGGUCUUUUCUAUGGAAGCUUGCUUCCACUGAGAAGAUAGUGGCGAACGGGUGAGUAACACGUGGGUAACCUGCCCAUAAGAGGGGGAUAACAUCCGGAAACGGGUGCUAAUACCGCAUAGUUUUCUUGAUCGCAUGAUCGGGAAAGGAAAGACGGCCUUUGUGCUGUCGCUUAUGGAUGGACCCGCGGCGUAUUAGUUAGUUGGUGAGGUAACGGCUCACCAAGACGAUGAUACGUAGCCGACCUGAGAGGGUGAUCGGCCACAUUGGGACUGAGACACGGCCCAAACUCCUACGGGAGGCAGCAGUAGGGAAUCUUCCGCAAUGGACGAAAGUCUGACGGAGCAACGCCGCGUGAGUGAAGAAAGGUUUUCGGAUCGUAAAACUCUGUUGUCAGAGAAGAACAAGUUGGAGAGUAACUGCUCCAGCCUUGACGGUAUCUGACCAGAAAGCCACGGCUAACUACGUGCCAGCAGCCGC